GAUGAACGCUGGCGGCGUGCUUAAAACAUGCAAGUCGAACGGAAAGACCAGGCUUUUGCGGGUUUGCCGGUGGCGAAGGGGGGGUGAAACACAGGAGUAUCCCCCCCUUAACUUGGUGAUAUCUCGAGGAAACGGGGGCAAUAACCGCGUAGAAGCUCUUGAACCGGGGGGGGGGUUGGAAAGAUUCGGCGGUGGGGGCUGGAAUCGGGGUUUAUGGGCUGGUUGGUGGGGUAGUGGCUUACCAAGGUUUCGAAGGGUAGCCGGCCUGAGAGGUGGACCGGGGACAUUGGGACUGAGAUAGGGCCCAGACUGCUACGUGAGGCAGCAGUGGAGAGUAUUGCACAAUGGGCGGAAGCCUGAUGCAGCAACGCCGCGAGCGUGAUGACGGCCUUCGGGUUAUAAACCGCUUUCGCCUGUGACGUAGCGGGAGUGACGGUAAUGAGUAAAGAAGCACCGGCUAACUACGUG
rnacentral:rRNA from 1 species